rnacentral:tRNA from 2 species
GGCUGAGUGGCGAAAUAGGUAAACGCGUGGCACUUAAAAUGCUAUGUCCAUUUUGGACUUGUGGAUUCGAUUUCCACCUCGGUCA